UAAGCAACUUUUAUAUCAGGGAGUGAGGAAAACGUGUGGAAAAACCAAGUGAUGCAGCAGAUGGGGUCCCACACUGGGAUAAUUGUCAGACACUGAGGUGAACUCAUGAAUGGAGUGUUAUGAGGAAAACAGAAAACAAGGAGCGUAAAGGGGAAUUUAAGCACAUGGAAGUGUCACGGAUGGAGAAGAAGGGCUCUGCAUGUUAUAUGUAUAGCAUAAUGAGCAAACUGGAGAUUUAUGAAGUAAGGCCUAAAGGGGAGAAUGAAAUUAAUAACUUAGAAACCAAAAGAGGAGAACCAUUAACCAAGACAUGAUACUGGGUGUAGAGUCCAUGAACCUGGCAAAUGGAGAAUGCAGUAAAAGAACCCUAGAAGGAAGGAACAAUGGGAUAUGAUGUAGGAACCAGUUGAAGCAAGUAGCCCCUGCAAAUGGUCGUUGCUCCAUGUUAUCGCUCCAGUGUUGUUUUGCCUAUGUUAUACCUCAUCAAUAAAGAAAAGCUCAAUUAUGC